rnacentral:rRNA from 1 species
GACGAACGCUGGCGGCGUGCCUAAUACAUGCAAGUAGAACGCACAGUUUAUACCGUAGCUUGCUACACCAUAGACUGUGAGUUGCGAACGGGUGAGUAACGCGUAGGUAACCUGCCUGGUAGCGGGGGAUAACUAUUGGAAACGAUAGCUAAUACCGCAUAAUAUUAAUUAUUGCAUGAUAAUUAAUUGAAAGGUGCAAUUGCACCACUACCAGAUGGACCUGCGUUGUAUUAGCUAGUAGGUGAGGUAACGGCUCACCUAGGCGACGAUACAUAGCCGACCUGAGAGGGUGAUCGGCCACACUGGGACUGAGACACGGCCCAGACUCCUACGGGAGGCAGCAGUAGGGAAUCUUCGGCAAUGGACGAAAGUCUGACCGAGCAACGCCGCGUGAGUGAAGAAGGUUUUCGGAUCGUAAAGCUCUGUUGUAAGAGAAGAACGGGUGUGAGAGAGGAAAGUUCACACUGUGACGGUAUCUUACCAGAAAGAGACGGCUAACUACGUG